GGCAGUUCUUGGGUGAUGCACCCCGGAAUUGGGCUCUCUCCUCUUUAGUUCCUGGGUGCGUCACUCAAGAACUGCC
rfam:Myotis lucifugus cont2.29106, whole genome shotgun sequence.